UACGUAGGGUGCGAGCGUUAAUCGGAAUUACUGGGCGUAAAGCGUGCGCAGGCGGUGAUGUAAGACAGGUGUGAAAUCCCCGGGCUUAACCUGGGAACUGCAUUUGUGACUGCAUCGCUGGAGUGCGGCAGAGGGGGAUGGAAUUCCGCGUGUAGCAGUGAAAUGCGUAGAUAUGCGGAGGAACACCGAUGGCGAAGGCAAUCCCCUGGGCCGGCACUGACGCUCAUGCACGAAAGCGUGGGGAGCAAGCAGG
rnacentral:rRNA from 1 species